rnacentral:rRNA from 1 species
GACGAACGCUGGCGGCGUGCCUAAUACAUGCAAGUAGAACGCACAGUUUAUACCGUAGCUUGCUACACCAUAGACUGUGAGUUGCGAACGGGUGAGUAACGCGUAGGUAACCUGCCUGGUAGCGGGGGAUAACUAUUGGAAACGAUAGCUAAUACCGCAUAAUAUUAAUUAUUGCAUGAUAAUUAAUUGAAAGGUGCAAUUGCACCACUACCAGAUGGACCUGCGUUGUAUUAGCUAGUAGGUGAGGUAACGGCUCACCUAGGCGACGAUACAUAGCCGACCUGAGAGGGUGAUCGGCCACACUGGGACUGAGACACGGCCCAGACUCCUACGGGAGGCAGCAGUAGGGAAUCUUCGGCAAUGGACGAAAGUCUGACCGAGCAACGCCGCGUGAGUGAAGAAGGUUUUCGGAUCGUAAAGCUCUGUUGUAAGAGAAGAACGGGUGUGAGAGUGGAAAGUUCACACUGUGACGGUACCUUACCAGAAAGGGACGGCUAACUACGUG